CUUGACCCACACCCUGCACUGUGGUGGGGAAGACUCUGGGCGACUCUUCUGUACUAUACAGACGACCCAAGUCUGACAUGGCGUCCUAAGGCCCGGGAGGAGAACAUGCCCCCGGAGAAGAGAAAAGUGAGUCCCAGAGAAGGCCAAAGGCGUGCCCAAGGCCACACAGCUCAGAGACAGCAAGUCAGCAUUUGACCCCAGUCGGAACCGAACAGACUUCCUUUCAGCCCCUCGGCACUUACCGAAGUGCUGGGCGCAGGAUACGGAGAGAGCACGGAGAAGGCACGGAGAACACCGGAGGUGGUUUCCAUAUGCCCAGGUUGGGUGGCUGGGGCAAAACAUCCAUGUUGGAAGCCUCUUGAGCACCUGCUCCAGGAGUGUUUCAGGCACCAGCAAGCCACCUCAACGGUGGAUGUAAGAAGACUAUAACAGACUCCUUGAUCCUGCUUCCACAGCUUUGCGGUCACAAGUACCCACUGUGGGAAGACCCCCGUGUGCUGUCGGUAUGGGACAGGACUAACAGCCAGACAUCCUGGUUUCUCAUCAGACGCUGUCUUUUAAAUGAAAACCAUGUCAUACUGGGCUGGUCUGCCUUGUUAGCACCCACAAAAAAACCCAA